UCUGGCAGCAAUGGCGAGAAGGUCACACCCGUUCCCAUACCGAACACGGAAGUUAAGCUUCUCAGCGCCGAUGGUAGUUGGGACUUUGUCCCUGUGAGAGUAGGACGUUGCCAGG
rnacentral:rRNA from 1 species